GACGAACCGUGCGAACGUUGUUCGGAAUCACUGGGCUUAAAGGGUGCGUAGGCGGGUUGUCCAGUCUGGGGUGAAAUCCCACGGCUCAACCGUGGAAUUGCCUCAGAUACUGACGACCUCGAGGGAGGUAGGGGCGAGCGGAACUGUGGGUGGAGCGGUGAAAUGCGUUGAUAUCCACAGGAACUCCGGUGGCGAAGGCGGCUCGCUGGACCUCUUCUGACGCUGAGGCACGAAAGCUAUGGGAGCAACCGCG
rnacentral:rRNA from 1 species